UACGUAGGGCGCAAGCGUUAUCCGGAAUUAUUGGGCGUAAAGAGCUCGUAGGCGGUCUGUCGCGUCGGCUGUGAAAUCCCGGAGCUUAACUCCGGGUCUGCAGUCGAUACGGGCAAACUGGAGUACUGCAGGGGAGACUGGAAUUCCCGGUGUAGUGGUGGAAUGCGGUAGAUAUCGGGAGGAACACCAGUGGCGAAGGCGGUUGCCUGGAGCUUGCUGACGCUGAUGCGCGAAAGCGUGGGGAGCGAGCCGG
rnacentral:rRNA from 1 species